rnacentral:lncRNA from 1 species
GCAAAAUUUCUUGUUUCUUUUUCCAAACCGAAAUUGUCACAACUCGAGCGAAUGGAAAUCGCAUCGAGUGAAAAAAACGGCUGCAUUAAAUGCAAGGUUUGCAAAAAUGAGUUUACAAACGAAGCGCAGUUCCUCGAACAUCUGAAGGAGAAUCCGAAGUGCGAAAAGUUGACUUGUGUCGUGUGUCGGAAACAGUUCAGUCAGAUCUCUCAUUUAAAUAUACACAAGUUAGAAAUACAUUCAAACGAAAAGAAAUUUAAAUGCGAAGAAUGUGAUUAUUGUACCGCACUUGGAUCAAACUUUAGAAGACACUAAAAUAAACACUCAAGAAAAAAAGUUUAUAAAUGUAGCUAUUGUAAUCGUUCAACUAUAUGGAAACAGAGUUUAGACUGUCAUAUUUUGCUAAAACAUUCGAAAAAAUCAAAUUUCACUGAAAAACUUUCGCCGAGAUAUCUGGAUUUGGAAAAAUAUCGAUGCAAAGUUUGCCUGAAAUUUUGUCAUACUCCAUACGCUUUAAAACGUCACGAGAUAAGUCAUACGGGAAAAAAACCGUUUCACUGUGAUUAUUGUUUUCGAAGAUUUACACGACAAGAGAACUUAAAUAAACACAAGCGAAUAAUUCAUUCGACAGUAGAAAAACAAUCUUCGUCUCAGCAAAUUACAGAAGGUACGUCAAAAUCUUUUGAAAUAUCGGAACAGAGUGAGAUGCACUCUUCUUCUGAAAUCUCAGCAGCGAGUUCAAUGCGAGAGGAAUAUCUUAAAACAUACGAGAAAGAUAAAACUUUGCAAUUUUCUGAAAAAUUACGGCAAUCUAAUCAAUGUCGCUUUACUACAAAUUCUGAAAAAGAAUGAUUCGUACAUAAACAGACACACGUUGACGAAUCUCCUUGCACGUCAAAGGAACAGGAAGAAACAGAUCCAGAAGUGGUCAGAGCAUCGGAAAUCCUCAUGGACAUGAGAAAGAAAAGAUUGGAGACAAUAAAAGAUAAAAAGAUAAGUCCUGAUUCCCAUACACCGC